rnacentral:rRNA from 1 species
AGAGUUUGAUCAUGGCUCAGGAUGAACGCUGGCGGUAUGCCUAACACAUGCAAGUCGAACGAAGUCUUAGGACUGAGUGGCGGACGGGUGAGUAACGCGUGAGAAUCUGCCUUCUGGAUGGGGAUGACAGGGAGAAAUCGCUGCUAAAACCCAAUGUGCCGAGAGGUGAAAUACUUGUAGCCAGAAGAGGAGCUCGCGUCCGAUUAGUUAGUUGGUGGGGUAAGAGCCUACCAAGGCAGCGAUCGGUAGCUGGUCUGAGAGGAUGAGCAGCCACACUGGGACUGAGACACGGCCCAGACUCCUACGGGAGGCAGCAGUGGGGAAUUUUCCGCAAUGGGCGAAAGCCUGACGGAGCAAUACCGCGUGAGGGAGGAAGGCUUUUGGGUUGUAAACCUCUUUUAUAAAGGAAGAAACAAAUGACGGUACUUUAAGAAUCAGCAUCGGCUAACUCCGUGCCAGCAGCCGCGGUAAUACGGAGGAUGCAAGCGUUAUCCGGAAUCAUUGGGCGUAAAGCGUCCGCAGGUGGUUCGUCAAGUCUGCUGUUAAAGACAGAAGCUCAACUUCUGAAGAGCAGUGGAAACUGGGGAACUAGAGUACGGUAGGGGUUGAGGGAAUUCCCAGUGUAGCGGUGAAAUGCGUAGAUAUUGGGAAGAACACCAGUGGCGAAGGCGCUCAACUGGGCCGUAACUGACACUCAGGGACGAAAGCUAGGGUAGCGAAAGGGAUUAGAUACCCCUGUAGUCUUAGCUGUAAACGAUGAACACUAGGCGUUGCUUGUAUCGACCCGAGCAGUGCCGUAGCCAACGCGUUAAGUGUUCCGCCUGGGGAGUACGCACGCAAG